rnacentral:rRNA from 1 species
CCUACGGGGGGCUGCAGUGGGGAAUAUUGCACAAUGGGCGCAAGCCUGAUGCAGCCAUGCCGCGUGUGUGAAGAAGGCCUUCGGGUUGUAAAGCACUUUCAGCGGGGAGGAAGGCGGUGAGGUUAAUAACCUCAUCGAUUGACGUUACCCGCAGAAGAGGCACCGGCUAACUCCGUGCCAGCAGCCGCGGUAAUACGGAGGGUGCAAGCGUUAAUCGGAAUUACUGGGCGUAAAGCGCACGCAGGCGGUCUGUCAAGUCGGAUGUGAAAUCCCCGGGCUCAACCUGGGAACUGCAUUCGAAACUGGCAGGCUAGAGUCUUGUAGAGGGGGGUAGAAUUCCAGGUGUAGCGGUGAAAUGCGUAGAGAUCUGGAGGAAUACCGGUGGCGAAGGCGGCCCCCUGGACAAAGACUGACGCUCAGGUGCGAAAGCGUGGGGAGCAAACAGGAUUAGAUACCCGAGUAGUC